rnacentral:misc_RNA from 1 species
UUAUUCGUAGAUAUUCUUUUUCCCUUGCUGUCAGCUGCUGUCAGAAAUGAAAACAACAAAAAAACACUGCUGAACGUGGCCGCUAAACUGUUUUUGAACUAUUAUAUUUUGAAGACUCUUUUUUAUUUCGUAAAUUUUUAAGGAAAUGUAUAUCCUGUUACAUGAACAAUCAACCGAUUCAAUUCCUAUAUGCCGGCUGUGCGGUACACAGUGCAUGGAUAUUUCCUACCUUGACAUAUUUGGAGAUGCUGGGCAAUUUAUGGCUUUUGCCAUCCAAAAGUAUCUUGAAAUUGACGUCUCUGAAAAGGAGGUAUGCUCCAAAACUGUUUGUCAUAAUUGUAGCGGGAGGGUUGAAGAGUGGAGUGUGUUUUACAACAAGUGUCAUGAGGUUCAGUCCCUGUUCAAAAGCCCACCUCUAAUAUUAGAGGAAUCCACAUCUGCCCAAACAGGAGAAACCCAAGCUAUUUUUCAAAGUGAAAGUGUAUCAAAUCAUCUUACAAAGUUGGUGGAAGAAUUGGUACAAGGUGGCCCUAUGGCAUCGGAAAAAAUUUCAUCUGAGGCUGUUCUUGAGGAGGCAAUGGAUGCUACGGGAAUAAAGGCUGAAGACGGCAAAGAAUUAAAUCAAGAUGAUGAUACAGAUUUUACUGAAGCUGAAGAAGAUCCAGUAUCUGAUACAGAAGAUGAGUUUGAAGAAGACUUGAACUCUGAAAGUGAUGAACAGUCUGGUGAUUCAGAAGCCAAACAAAAGCAGAAACCAAGGCAUAAGAAAUUUAUGUUUGAUAUUCCAUUCCUUGAAACAAAAUUGGGAAGAAGUUUUACUCCUACAGAAAAAACAAAGCUACAGAAGCACAUUAGCAAAAGACAGAACACCUUAAUAUAUGAAAUGCUAAUCGGUGGUGGACCUGGUCAAUUAUGGGAAUGCCAAGUUUGCCAAAAGUCCAUCAAAGGACGAGCCUGUGAAGUGACAAAACAUUAUCUUAAAACCCAUCAGGUACAGCCUAUCUUCCCAUGUCACGCAUGCGAUUACACCAGUAGGACGGAGAAGAUGUACCAGGCACAUCGCAUGAGUCACCUUGUCGAGUAUCCGUGUGAGCACUGUGGCAAGAUUUUCAGCCAGCAUUCGAGACUCGUCUAUCACAUGAAUUCACAUACCAACGAACGUGAGUUUGAGUGCGACAUUUGUCAGAAAAAAUUCAAUACUGCUCAAUACGUCAACACCCACAAACGCAAAGUUCACGGAGAUCAGGAGAAGCUACUGAAGUACACCUGCGAAUUGUGUGGUAUGCGUUUCAAGUACAAGAAUCAUCUGCAAUACCACCAGAAGAGACAUCCCACUGACGAGAAUCCUUUGCCUUAUAGCUGCAAGUAUUGCGAAGAACACUUUAUGACGCGCGCCGAGCAACUGGCCCACAGCAACACUGUGCACGCUGGCGAGGGUGAUUUUGUUUGCCAUUUAUGCGGCAAGAAGAUGAAGACGAUCCUUUCACUGGAGAAUCACGUCAAACUUCAUAGCGGUCUUAAAGAGUUCAAAUGCGACAUGUGUGACUCAGCCUUUGCCACCAAUCACAGUCUCAAGUGCCAUAAGAAGAUACACGACCGAGGGCCGGACAAUAGUUUACAGUACGUUUGCCACGUUUGCCAGAAGCCAAUGAGCAACAAAAGCUCGCUCAACCAGCAUCUGAAGACCCAUCAGAGCACGAAACCGCAUCAAUGUCAACACUGCAGUGCCUCUUUCAUUCACAAGAAUCGAUUAGAAAUUCACAUGCGGAAGCAUACGGGUGAGUUCCCUCACACUUGCGCGGAUUGUGGCAAAGGAUUUCGCAGUACGAGCAGCAUGAACAGCCACCGGCAGUACGUUCACAGCGAGCGCAAAUUCGCCUGCGAAAUUUGUCAGAAAGCCUUUAAGACAUCCAGAGAUCUGAAGGUUCAUUCGACACUGCACACCGGCGAGAAGCCCAAUAUUUGCGGCAUAUGUGGCAAGGCAUUUCGGGUGCGUGCCAAUUACUUUAAACACCGGAAAAUUCACAUGCGGGCUGCCAAUUCCAAUCGAAACGAAGUUCAGACAGAGACAGCUGGUGAAGCUCCACCUGAGGAGCGUGAACAAGAAGAAGAAGAGGACGAAGAAGAAGAAAGAGCCGGCCAAAGUGAAAUAGAAAAUGUAACCGGGUUACCGGUACAAGAAACCGUGGUCCAUCAUAAUCUUGUCCCUGUCGUGUCCGCUACAACGCCCGGUGAUUUCUUCCAGUUCGCCAACGAACAACAAUGGAUCACUUAGUAGUUGCUCGUAGUCGAUCCGUCCAUAUCCAAUCAUGCAUCUCUCCGUUGUACACAGAUAUAUCAAUGAUCGAACGUCGGGCCUUGUUUAGAUUCCCGUCCGAUAGAUGGGACACCUACGACUAUCGCUGUCUUCGUUCGAAUUCCGUCUUUAAUGUGUUCGCGUCGUGUUUCUUACCAAAAGUGUUUUCCUGGGCGGUGGGCAACGGGGCGUUGUGUGGUGUGUCAAUCGUCAGCGUUGUGAUUUCGUGGGUUGGAGCAUAACAAGACUGUUUGCCUGCUGGCCUUGGUGGCUCAGCAGCAAAUCAACGAUGGACCACCUCUUUCAUCCGCACUGCCGUUUCUUGGAUUUUUACUGUUGUUGCCUUUGAGAUUAAGGGUAGGAUGGGAGACACGGCCAGCUGAAAUACUUUAAUGGGGUCCAGCAAAAAAGAAGCUUGUUUUCCAAAUGUCGGUGGUUCAAAUAGAAGAAAACGUUUCCACGAAACCUCAUCGUUGCGUUAAAGAAAGACGCGUAUAACGUCAGCCAUUCGAAAUGGGGGCUUUUCGCUUCUUCUGCGUGUUUUCUCUGACGAGUCGUCAAAAGCAGAGUGUGCGACCUAAAGUUCUCCAUUUGCUACUACAGAAAGAGAACAACAAGAUGCAAAAGAGCAGAAGAAGAUCGCGAUAGAAGAGCUCACGCUCGAUCAACAGUUUGAAAAUAGAACGCAUUUCCCUCCCUCCGUUUUGUUGGUUUAAACUCAUAGCGAUUGUUUCCCCCCCGCACAAAAUUAAAGAAAUGCUUUGAUUUCUGCGUUCAAAACGAACAAUGUCCGUGAAACAGCUUAUAUUUUUGCUCUUGUGGCUUGACGGUCCCAUACAUACCCAUCAGUUGCAACCUAUUUCGAAAACUAUACGUGACCAACACUUUGAUUUGUUGAUUUGAACGUUACGCCAUAUAUCGCCCUGUCUUAAUAUUUGUUGCCACCUACUGUUCUUCUCCCCCCUCUUUUGCAUAUUUCCCAAUCUUUUUGCUUCGAAAUACACAAAGACACACACAAA